AACGCGAAGAACCUUACCUGGGCUUGACAUAUAGAGGAUCGCUACAGAGAUGUGGUUUCCCUUGUGGCUUCUAUACAGGUGGUGCAUGGUUGUCGUCAGCUCGUGUCGUGAGAUGUUGGGUUAAGUCCCGCAACGAGCGCAACCCUUGUCUUAUGUUGCCAGCACGUUAUGGUGGGGACUCGUGAGAGACUGCCGGGGUCAACUCGGAGGAAGGUGGGGAUGACGUCAAAUCAUCAUGCCCCUUAUGUCCAGGGCUUCACACAUGCUACAAUGGCCGGUACAGAGGGCUGCGAUGCCGUGAGGCGGAGCGAAUCUCUUAAAGCCGGUCUCAGUUCGGAUUGGGGUCUGCAACUCGACCCCAUGACGUCGGAGUCGCUAGUAAUCGCAGAUCAGCACG
rnacentral:rRNA from 1 species